UACGUAGGGGGCAAGCGUUGUCCGGAUUUAUUGGGCGUAAAGAGCUCGUAGGCGGUGUGUCGCGUCGGCCGUGAAAACCUGCAGCUUAACUGUGGGCUUGCGGUCGAUACGGGCAUCACUGGAGUUCGGCAGGGGAGACUGGAAUUCCUGGUGUAGCGGUGAAAUGCGCAGAUAUCAGGAGGAACACCGGUGGCGAAGGCGGGUCGCUGGGCCGAUACUGACGCUGAGGAGCGAAAGCGUGGGGAGCGAACAGG
rnacentral:rRNA from 1 species